UCUUUUAUAACUCUAGUUCUAUUAGUGCUAUAGAGCUGAAAGAUAGCUCAUUUCAAAGAGGAUUUUAUGGGCUUUGUUUUAUGCCAAAUUAGGAACACUUAAGGCCAAAAAAUAAAUUUUUAGUGAAACUCAAAAAAUUGUUUUUGAAAAAUGUUUGAGUUAGUAGUGUUUUUAAUUUAAAAAAUGUAUAUAUGUUAUUGUGCAUGAUUUUGUGAGUAUACCACACACAUUUCAGAUCGGGACCAUGAAGGGAUCAGGAGAUAUGUUACAAAUACAUUUUUGUGAUGUCAAAACAUUUUCAUCGUUAUUGGUGUAGCAUUCUGUAAAGUCUGCUUUUUAGAUAUAAUUACGAGUGGGUAAAUCUGUGUUAACUCCAUUUUGUCAGUUUUUUAAACCAAAAAGAACGGAAACCAAUUUAUUAUAAUAGUAAUUUUUUUUAAUAGUUAACCAUAAUUUAAAAAUAAAACUAAAAUAUUUAGUUUUAAAUAUUUUGUCAUGUAAUUCUAUUGUGUUAUAAAUGUUGGUUCCUAAUGUGGAAUCAAUAUUGAGUGCCCAUGUUUGAGUAAUUGUAUAAGGAUUGAUUUUGUGUAUCAUGCUUGAUCUGCUGAUAUUGAUACUUGAACAAACAUGUCCCUUUCAUGUCCUAACAUGAAGAAGUGAUGAUAGUGUUCCAUUGUUGUGCUAGCUGUUUCAGUCUGUCUUUUGCUUUCAGAGAGAGAACAAGUGCAAAACUAGUGAAGUUUCUUUUUGUGAUCUCACUUUAAUCACUUUAAUACUAAAUGUUUGAUAUUUACUCAUUAAUUUAGUUGGUUAUGUUUGGUGUUAAAAAACUAAACUGUUUCAGCUAUUUAGUAACAAAUAAUUGUGUUUUUAAGUUUAGUGAACUGAUUUGAAUUGAAGGAAUUUUGGGUGCUGAGAUGACCAAUGCUAUUGAGGAGGAAUCGGGUCGAGAAUUUCACCGUAAGGAAUACUUCAGUCAUCCAAAAUGUCUAAUGGGCCAUUAUAUGUAAAAUAAGAGUGCCUGUAUAUACGUUCACAGAGGGGUGUUUUAGUUUUAUUCACAGUGCUGUACGUUGUGCAAAAGUAUUUAUUAUUUAAUCACAAGUUACCUUAGACUAGUGUAGUUGUAACGAUUAUUUACUAACUGCAGGUAAAGUGUUUGGCUUUCCUAACAGAACGGGGUGGUGGUUACGUGAGACAUAGAAGAUGUUGGGGUGGAGGUGUUGAAAACUGUGACGCCACGACAGAGCAGCUCCUAAGAAAAACUCAUGGAUGUGAAGUCUAUCUGUAUGAAAGAAGCUGUGAUUACUAGAGAGGCUUAUCAGAGCGUUGGUGUCAGUUUUCCUAUUAGUACAAAUAAUUCUAACCGAAAGAUGCUUUUUUGACCUUCUAUAUUGUUUGUGAUUUAGAUUUAACAAAAAUGUGAUUCAUUAAGAAACUUUUGCAUAAAAUUUGUUUAUGACAAUGAAGGUUGUGAGAUAUGGUACUACUUGAAAGGUUUAUGAAAUUGAAAUCAGAGCUGAAUGACUUACAAAUAUAACUUACCCAGCUCUUAAGUACUUAUUUUUAUAAAUGAUUGAUCGAUUCUACAUCUUCAAGUACAGUUACUAAUUAGUAUUCAUAUCCUGUAUAGAUGUGUUGUUUUGUAUCCUAAGGUUAAUAAAAAUCUUAAGGCUUGCUUGGCUUAUAACCCAAUACAUGCUCUGUUACUGUACUUUGCAUUGUUGAUUUCAAAUGCAAUAACCAUCUUUUUAGAAUAUAUUCUACGAGUUUGAAAAAUGUAGUCAUGAUCAAGCCAGUUUUUUUCUUCUUAUGUGUUAUUUGUUGCCUACACUUCUGUAAGACAGUUUUAUAAAAUCCUCCCAACCAAUCAUAAAAAAAUCUACUGUUGCCUACACUUCUGUAACACGGUUUAUCAAGUUCUCCAUGCAAUCGUGUAAGUUUACUUUUUUAAGACAAUGCUUUUAAUUGUAUUCCAAACAUUGCCACAAAAUGUAUAGUUUAUUUCUUGUUCAUCAAUUUAUUACAAAAGAAGAAAUAAAUUAAAACUUGUAUUACAACACUAUAAACACAGUUUUUUUCUGGCGUCUUUGUUUUCUGGGUUUUCUAAACCAAACUAUUGGUACUUGACUAUUUCAAAGUAAUUUCUUAGUGAUGUCACUAUUUCUUGUUAUAACACAGAAAAUCAAAAUAUUAACUUGAAUAGGCACUAUUGGAAAUGUCAGUUUCCGUGGUGUGGAAGAUACUUAGUAUGAAGCAGUAGCAUGACACAAACGACCUGUUUGAUUUUGUGUUUUGUUUUAAAAUUGUAUUUUUGCUGACAACCACAAUAAUUGUUUACACUUGAACUUUAUCAAUGUAAUCAUUGUAUAUAUUCACGGCAUGAUUUGGGUGGUAGUGGCAUAAAAUAAUUCAUUAAGGAACAUGCAAGUCCAACUGCACCUACCAGUUACCAGUCACAGGCUUGGUCUGUGUUUUAUGCAUGUUUUCAUUCUAGCUUCUAUUAUACAGGUCACAACAAUUUAAUUUUCUCCAAGCAAUUAAUGACACGCAUCACAGUAUGUUUUAUUAUUGGGCUUGAUAUAAUUUUGACCACAUCAUUUUUAAUAUGAAUUUACAGCUAAAAGCAUGUUUGUACGUGAGGCUUGAAAUCUUAAUAUGAUGGUGUGAUUUGUCACAUCAGUUGAAGCUAAUUACAUUACUAUAAAUUUCAUCUAUUAAAAACAAGGAGAACGAAUGAGAAAAUUCAUUAAUGUAUGUUUAAAUAAAAUUAUAACUCCUUGUUUAGUGUAAGGGACUAUGAUUGAUCAUGUUGUUAAUUUUAAGAGGUAACACAAAAAUAUUGAAAACAUAAUAUGGUACCAAUAUUUUGUUGUUUUUAACUGUAGUGUCAACACAUUGUGUAUACAAAAAUAGGAUCUAUUUUUAUCAGAGUAAAUAUUUAUGAUAAUAGUAUUAGUAUUAAGGUAGUAUUGUAGGUAUUAAACAUACAACAUGGUUUGUUUCUCACUUUUAAUAAUUAAAAACUCCCAACAUUUCAUAUAAAGAAAUAGUGUCUAUUUUUACCAGAGUUAAUAUUUAUUUAUGAUAUUAAGUAUGUAUAGUAAUAAAGUGAGUCAAACACUAGUUAAACAUAAUAGAGGAAGUUUUCUCCAAGUGAAAUAAGGUACAAAUAUUUUAUUUAGAUUUGUUUUAAUUUUAGAAUUCUCUUGUUUUAGGAGAAAUCGGUGAAUAAUUUGUUUUGUUCCAAACAUAAUACAUGUAUUUCUAAUUGAACAUAAUAAAUCUUGCUGAUGUUUUAACAACUAAUUAGCUUCUAAAUAUUGUUAUCAAAACUGAGGAGGUCAUAAUUUCUUGUGAUCUGUUUUAUUUUUUAAGUUACCAAAAUAACCUGAAUUGUGUGUGCUGGUUGUCAUCAGAGAUUUUCAGUCAGAGGUUUUAGUGCUAUUUAACCCAUGUUCAAUUAAUUAUAGCAAAACACUGUGACAUGUGGUUUGUACUGUAAUUGGUAAUACAGAACAAGUACUUUUUUUAAUACCAUACAAUACACCAGUCUUAUUGGCUAGUAUCUACAUUUAAAAACAGUUUAGUAACAAAGUAAUAAAAUCAGUAAUCUAAGUUCCUAUGUCGGCUUUAUGUGCCUUACGCACAAACCUAAAUUUAAAUAAGUUUAAUAAUACAAUAAACCUGUUUAAUGUUUGAUAACUAUACCAGAGUUGUUCCUAGGCUGACAUUUAAACCAUUGUAAUAUGAGAAUUGCUCUAUCAUAUAUUAUAAUAACUAAUCAGUAAUUCAGUAUUUUAAAUAAUAUGAAGUUAAUGUAGCAAUCACAUCCGAGGAAAUUUAUCCAAAUUUCACAUAAAUUCUUCACUAUUCAGUCUAAUGAUGAGAUGAAGAUCAAUACUAUUUGAGACCCGCAAAUAUAAUUAUAUUUAUCUUAAUGUGAAUAACAUUGUUAAUACAAUUAAACAUUUGUGUUGAUAAAGUACAAGGUUAGUUUACUGUCUAAUUUUUCUUCUCAACUUCAAUCGCCUAACAAUAGAGAUGCAUCAGUCUUGGACACCUGGUCGAAUCCCUCUGCGCUAAAAAGUAGUUCCUUUAUCAUAACUUGCCUAUUGUGAAUGUUUCUGCCUGGUACUCAAGGGGUCCAGGUCCCGAUUGUCUGGGUCUAGGUCGGGUACUCUUAGGGCACUUUCAGGUAGAACCUAUCUGGCUGAUUGUUUAAUCUGAGCCAGUCUACAGUUUGGUAUCUUAAGUCACAUGUAAAAAAGACUGAAUUUCCUACACGAAAUUGUAAUUGUAAAUAUUAUAGUUUAAAAAUAUAUAUUUUACAAAUAAGAUGUUUUUAUUUUAGUCAUUACAAAGACUGUUGCAUUUUUUCUCUGUAAAAAUGCCCUAAAAGUUAAUUUUUUAGGUGUUUCGAUUUUACUGCAGAAGUAAUAUGAAAAACACUCAAUUAAAAGUUUGUGUAUAUUUAUAUACUACACUCACGCAUUUUACACAAUCACUAAUUACAUAAACACACAUUCAUUUACUCAUGUUAAACAAAAAAUGUAAAAUUAUCAGGUUAAUUGGAAACAUAAAAAUAAGGUUAUAAUAUACAUCAGAUAUAACAAAAUAGUAACUGUGAUCUAGUGGGAACUACUUGAAAGUGUUUUUUAUCCAUUCCGUGAGAUCACAUUCAUAUACAGGUGAAAGAUAAUUCAUCUCAAAACAUUUCUGUGAAAACUGCUUAGCGCCAUAGCGCUUCUCUCAUGGCUAUCGGGAGUACAAGUAGGCAAGUAGUGCGCUUUUGAAUUCAUUACGGAUUACUAGUCAAAGGGUUAAAUGGUUUUAUAUGUAUAUAGACUGGUGCAUUUUAUAGUAUGACAGGUACUUAUAUUUAACGCUAACAAAUUGGAGCUGUGACUUUAGAAAAGACAAUGAUACGUUGAAAUACAUAAAAACUGUUAAAGCAUGAAAAUGUAUAGGGAUGGUUAUGAAAUCAUUAUACUUUGCACUAACUCAAUAAUGUUUUUAGUAUGUUCAUAAUGUGAGUGUAUCUUCUAAGAAAUAAUUAUUCGGUUUUGAAUAAUUUGAAGGAUUUUUAUAAAUAUAGUAUUCAAAUCCUAUUGGUUCAAUUUUAAGAUUUGUGUUCAAAAUAUUUAUUUUCAACUAAUUAUUGUACCAAGUUCUUUUAAUGUGGGAGGACGUCGAAGCCUAGAUUCAUAAUUAAUUAUAAAGUUUCAUAAUAUUAUCUCUUUCAGUAUUUUUGUUAUAAUUUGAAUUUAAAAUACAGGACCAAAUACUAAAUCUUUUCAGUCCCAGUCUCUAUUCUCUAGUUUAUUUAUUUUAAUGACAAUCCAUAAUAAUAAGUUUAAAUUAUUAUUUUAAUUCCACAAAUAUGAUGACAUGUUUAUUUUUAGAUAAUAUAAUAUGUACAUUUUCUCACUCCACAGUUUUAAGGAUCUAUUUAUAAUUUGACUUGUAUUUUGAGGCAGGUGUGGGUAGACAGUUGGGGUUUGAUACUUUGUUCUGAGACAAAGUAAACUUAAAAGAGUCUCAGAAUUAAAAACAAAAUACAUACAAGUGUAUGGAUUUUCUGUUUAAAUAAUUUUAUUAUUGUAAGUAAUUGAAUUGAAUAAGUUUACAGAAUUUCAUAUAACCCCUUCCAUCUUUUGCUGAUAAAUAUUAAAUAUCUGUAAAACUCGGAAAGUAGUAUUAUUACUUCAAUACUAAUAUAACAAAAUUUUAAAAUUCAUGAAAGUUUUCUUUUGACAAUUUAAUCAGAUGUUUGAAAUCAUUAUUAUAAUAUUGGAUUUUGUAGUAUUUUAGAUGCUACUGAAAGUAUACUUAAUUAAUACAAAUAUACUCAAGAGAUAAAUUAAAUAACACUAUUUUCAAUAAGAAUAAAUAUUAAUUGGAAACAAUAUAAUAAGCUAGUUUUCUCAGAGUACUCAAUUUAGUGGUUAAAUUAUUUCUACCUUUAACAUGUGUAUAGAACAAACAUAUUAAAAGCUAUUGAGAUUACUGAAAGGAGUGUAAAUCAGGAGGUAAAGGUUUGGUGAUAGAGAGGACUUCAAGAGGUGUAUUUGUGAUCUCAACAAUCUGUUCCCACACCUGUCUGUCACUAGUGUUCAUUGCAUUAAGAAGUGUAUGAUUUAAUAAGCUGUUAUGUGAUGUAGCUUUUGUUAAUAUUUUAUAACUGUAAUGUGGUUAAAUAAAUGAAAAGGAAAUUACUUUAA